rnacentral:tRNA from 2 species
GAGAAAGAAGCACUAUGGUGUGCAAUCGGCUUGAAACCGUUUGGUGGGGGUUCAAUUCUCUCCUUUCUCG